rnacentral:rRNA from 2 species
AGAAUCAACGCUGGCGGCGUGCCUAACACAUGCAAGUCGAACGCGAAGCCCGCCUUCGGGUGGGUGGUAGCGUGGCGCACGGGUGAGUAACACGUGGGUAAUCUGCCUUCGGGUGGGGGAUAACGGCGCGAAAGCGUCGCUAAUACCGCAUAACGCAGCGGCACCACAUGGUGACAGUUGUUAAAGGGGGGGAUCCUUUCGGGGACCUCCCGCCGGAAGAGGAGCCCGCGCUCGAUUAGCUAGUUGGUGAGGUAAUGGCUCACCAAGGCAGUGAUCGAUA